rnacentral:rRNA from 1 species
GCAAGUCGAGCGCUACCUUCGGGUGGAGCGGCGGACGGGUUAGUAACGCGUGGGAACAUACCCUUUGGUACGGAAUAGCCUCUGGAAACGGAGAGUAAUACCGUAUGUGCCCUUCGGGGGAAAGAUUUAUCGGUGAAGGAUCGGCCCGCGUUAGAUUAGAUAGUUGGUGGGGUAAUGGCCUACCAAGUCUACGAUCUAUAGCUGGUUUUAGAGGAUGAUC